rnacentral:rRNA from 1 species
UCCUGGGGCUGGAGUUGGUCCCAAGGGUUGGGCUGUUCGCCCAUUAAAGCGGUACGCGAGCUGGGUUCAGAACGUCGUGAGACAGUUCGGUCCCUAUCCGCUGCGUUCGUUGGAGAUUUGAGAGGGCCUGUCCCUAGUACGAGAGGACCGGGACGGACGAACCUCUGGUGUGCCAGUUGUACCGCCAGGUGCAUGGCUGGUUUGCUACGUUCGGGAGGGAUAACCGCUGAAAGCAUCUAAGCGGGAAGCCUGCCUCGAGAUAAGAUCUCCGUGCACUGUUUGUGUGUGAGGGUCCCAGUAGAAGACUGGGUUGAUAGGCCAGGAAUGUAAGGCUCGUGAGGGUUUGAGUUGACUGGUACUAAUAUCCCGAUGACUAACAUUA